GGGCGCAUGGUCUAGAGGUAUGAUUCUUCUUUAGGGCUUGACUUUAAAAGUGAAAUCCAUAGAAGAGGUCCUGGGUUCGAUUCCCAGUGCGCCCC
rnacentral:tRNA from 1 species